UACGUAGGUGGCAAGCGUUGUCCGGAUUUACUGGGCGUAAAGAGCGCGCAGGCGGUCGUUCAAGUCGCGUGUGAAAGCCCCCCAGCUCAACUGGGGAGGGUCACGCGAUACUGAUCGACUCGAAGGCAGGAGAGGGUAGUGGAAUUCCCGGUGUAGUGGUGAAAUGCGUAGAUAUCGGGAGGAACACCGAUGGCGAAGGCAGCUCGCUGGGACGGUACUGACGCUGAGGCGCGAAAGCGUGGGGAGCGAACAGG
rnacentral:rRNA from 1 species